GUCAGUUGGUGACCAGGUAGAUGGACAUUAAACAUUGGGGAUGAAAACUCGAAUUGCUGACAAGUUUUUGGUGUGAGCAUCACAUCUCAACAACUAGAGUGAAGAAAUAAUUAUCUAGGAUGGCAAUGAAACACACUGAUCCUACAUUUAUAAUAUGGAUAAAAGAAGAAAAAAAAGACAGGAUCAAAAGUGGAUUUUAGUUGUAAACUCAGCCAUGGCAGCAAUACAAUGAAUCCACUGAAUGCAUCCUUCAUUUGACAGUAAAGAAAUCAGCCAAAGACUGAAUCCUGAUACAGAAAAUAUAAAGAACAAAUGGCAGCAAUUCCAAUUUUAAGUAAAUUUUUAUAUGGAAAACAUUUUCUUCCAUGCAAUCCCAAAUCACAAAAUAAUGAAAAAUUCUCAAAAGUUUUUACUGGAAUACUUUUAAAUUUGUAAGUGCUGA
rnacentral:lncRNA from 1 species